rnacentral:rRNA from 1 species
CCCUUAGAUGUUCUGGGCCGCACGCGCGCUACACUGAUGCAUUCAACGAGUCUAAAACCUGCUCUGAUAGGGGUGGGUAAUCUUUUGAAUGUGCAUCGUGAUUGGGAUAGAUGAUUGCAAUUUUUCAUCUUCAACGAGGAAUGCCUAGUAAACGCAAGUCAUCAGCUUGUAUUGAUUACGUCCCUGCCCUUUGUACACACCGCCCGUCGCUCCUACCGAUUGAAUGAUCCGAUGAAUAUCAUGGAUUGAGGAUGCAAGUAGGUUAGCCUAUCUUCAUCUUCGAGAAGUGAAGUAAAUCUUAUCAUUUAGAGGAAGGAGAAGUCGUAACA